AACGAACGCUGGCGGCGUGUUUAAGACAUGCAAGUCGCACGGGAUAAGACAUGUAGUAAUACUUGUUUUAUUUAGUGGCGCACGGGUGAGUAACACGUGAAUUACAUGCCCUAUAGUGGGGAAUAGCCCAGGGAAACUUGGAUUAAUACCCCAUGGUAUCGAAAGAUUAAAGGUGGCCGCAAGGCUGUCGCUAUAGGAUUGGUUCGCGCCCUAUCAGCUUGUUGGUGAGGUAACGGCUCACCAAGGCAAUGACGGGUACCUGGUCUGAGAGGACGAUCAGGCACACUGGAACUGAGACACGGCCCAGACUCCUACGGGAGGCAGCAGUGGGGAAUAUUGGACAAUGGGGGCAACCCUGAUCCAGCGAUGCCGCGUGGGUGAAGAAGGCCUUCGGGUUGUAAAGCCCUUUAGGUUGGGAAGAAGUUUAUGCGUUGAAUAGACGUGUAGAUUGACGGUACCGACAAAAUAAGCACCGGCAAACUCUGUGCCAGCAGCCGCCGUAA
rnacentral:rRNA from 1 species